CACAACCUGAGCCCUCUUCUACUAUCCACAGCAUUUCAGGCUUCUCCUUAUGCAAAGCUGGCCAGCUAAAGAUGUCAGCAGCCGUUCAUGGUAGCCCUACCUCACACACAUCCCCAGCCAAUAAGGGGGGCUUGUGAGCUAACGUAUCACUAUAACACUAGGACUUGUUCUGAGCGCAUACAUUGCAGGUCUUACAGACUAGCUGCAUCACCAGGGAAGCCUACACCCAUCUCCCUCUCUGAGGUGCAUAGUAUCUUGCCACCAUGUCUGACACUGAGGACCUGGAUCAGAUGGAGGGUAAGUGUAAAAUAUACAAUUUAUAGAAAUUAGUUUAAUUUCUAGCUAUUUAGUUAUAAUAAUUUCAUUAUUAUAUAAGACAGGGCUACAAGGGCUUAAUUUGUAUAUAACCACCAAAGUGUCAGUCCUACAGACUCUAUGGGGAGGAGUCAUCGUUCCUAUUAUAUCUCUGUGGGAUUGACGCUACAAAGCUCUCUAUUUUUACAGUACUUCUUCAUAGGCCUAAACUGUGUGGACCACACCACACUGGCACCAAUGUAAACUAUAGAGAAGCGCAUUGAAAACUGCAAUAAAUGAGAUAAAAUAGACUAUUGACACAAAACUGAGAGAAUAAAAUAUUAACACAUUCAGUGUUUAUUGAAUUGAAUAAAUAUAUAUUAUGAUGCCCUACCAAUGAAAUGAAGCACAGAUCUGGUUCAAGCUUAAACAAUGUCUCCCCUAUGUGGUGAGAUAGAUGAAUAUGCUGUUACAGUGGGGUUAAUAGAUUACAAAAGUGAAAUGCAACAUUUUAUCUACAAGUGAAUGAAGUUCGGUCAAUCUGAAUAAUAGGCAGUGGCUUUAGAUAUCGAUAUCUGAAAGAUAUCGAUAUCUAAAUGUUGAUAAUAAUAACAGCAUCUCAUUCAUGUUUGAAUAAGCAUUUCCAACAUAAUGUGAUGUUCAUGUUUUCUUCCACCACCCAUUUGUUUCUCAAAACAAAAGAAGAGGAAGGUAAACCGUAUUGAUCCAUAUUGCUAUAUUUAUUAUUUUACUAAUUUUUCAUCAAUGCCAAGCCAACAAAAUAAUAUGGCAUGUGUUUGAUCCUACAAGCCUUGACAUUUCAGCUAUUUUUCAAUUUUUUAUUUAUGCUUAUCAAUCUGCUGUAGUCUUUGUAUGACAUGAAAGUAUGAUAUGCCAUAUAUAACAAAACCACCCCUUCUGCAUUGUAGUCUGUAAUAAGAUCACAUAUAUAGUAGAUAAUGACGAUUAUCUAUAUAUAUGUAUAAACAUAUUUUAAGAAAAAAUCCUGUAUGUGCUUUCAUGCUUAAUAAAUCUAUAUCUGAGAAAA